CUUGGGCCCAACUCCGAAUGUUCAUCAUUUCCAGGAGUUCCAUAUUGUUGGUGUGUCUGAGUGUAUAAGUGAGCUCCACAGCAAUAAUACUCCAGUAUUGUGUAUUUAAACUACAAAAAAUGUGUUUAGAAAUAAGUCUGUGAAAAUGUUCUUGUCCAAAGUUACAUUUUAAAGGGAGUUGGCCUGAGUUUUGAAAUUAUGUGCGAUCAGUCU